CAAAUUAACCAGACAAUCGCUGCUUUGUGGUAAAACACAGGGGGGAGGAAAGUCCGGGCUCCAUGGGGCAGAGUGCCAGGUAACGCCUGGGGGAUUUAAGCGAGAGCGAAAAUUCACGACUAGUGCAACAGAAAGUAAACCGCCGAUGGCGAAUAUAACCUUCGCACAGGUAAGGGUGAAAGGGUGUGGUAAGAGCACACCGCGCAACUGGUAACAGUUUGUGGCACGGUAAACUCCACUCGGAGCAAGGUCAAAUAGGGAUCUAUUGGCGUGGCCCGCGCUGGAUCCGGGUAGACUGCUUGAGCUAAUGUGCGAAUAUUAGCCUAGAUGAAUGAUUGUCCACGACAGAACCCGGCUUAUCGGUUAAUUUUAUUA
rnacentral:RNase_P_RNA from 1 species